UUUUUUUUCGUCCGGAGUCUCAUCCCGACUUGUGGGGGAAUCAUAGUCUCCAUUAUCCUUUCCUCACUUGGGACAAUGCUCUAAAAAUGAUGAUCAUCACACUUUUUAUUUUUCUUACAACUCAACAAUUACAACUCAAUACUUAAAACAAAAUAUGACUCUAUAUGAAUGCCUCCGGCGGUGUACCGGGAUAUGCAAUGAAUCAAGAGUGACAUGUAUGAAAGAAUUAUGAAUGGUGGCUUUGCCACAAAUACGAUGUCAACUACAUGAUCAUGCUAGCAAUAUGACAAUGAUGGAACGUGUCAUAAUGAAUGGAACGGUGGAAAGUUGCAUGGCAAUAUAUAUCGGAGUGUCUAUGGAAAUGCCAUGAUAGGUAGGUAUAGUGGCUGUUUUGAGGAAGGUAUUUGGUGGGUGUAUGAUACCGGCGGAAAGUGCACGGUAUUAGAGAGGCUAGCAAUGGUGGAAGGAAGGAAAGUGCGUAUAAUCCAUGGACACAACAUUAGUCAUAAACAACUCAUAUACUUAUUGCAAAAAUCUAGAAGUUACCAAAGCAAAGUAUUACGCGCAUGCUCCUAGGGGAUAGAUUGGUAGGAAAAUACCAUCGCUCGUCCCCGAUCGCCACUCAUAAGGAAGACAAUCAAUAAAUAAAUCAUGCUCCGACUUCAUCACAUAGUGGUUCACCUUACGUGCAUGCUACGGGAAUCACAAACUUUAACACAAGAAUUUCUCAAAUUCACAACUACUCAACUAGCAUGACUCUAAUAUCACCAUCGUCAUAUCUCAAAACAAUUAUCAAGCAUCAAUUUUUUUCUUAGUAUUCAACGCACUCUAAAGAAAGUUUUACAAAUCUUGAAUACCAAGCAUAUUAUUAUUAAGCAAUUACCAUGCCAUUAAGACUCUCAAAAUAAUCUAAGUGAAGCAUGUGAGAUCAAUAGUUUCUAUAAAACAAAUCCACCACCGUGGUCUAAAAGAUAUAAGUGAAGCACUAGAGCAAAAUUAUAUAACUCAAAAGAUAUAAGUGAAACACUAAAGUAAAAUUAUAGAGCUCAAAAGAUAUAAGUGAAGCACAUAGAGUAUUCUAUCAAAUUCCAAAUUAUGUAUGGCUCUCUCAAAAGGUGUGUACAGCAAGGAUGAUUGUGGUAAACUAAUAAGCAAAGACUCAAAUCAUAAAAGAAACUCCAAGCAAAACACAUAUCAUGUGGUGAAUAAAAAUAUAGCUCCAAGUAAAGUUACCGAUAGAAGUAGACGAAAGAGGGGAUGCCCAAGCUUUGGCUUUUAGGUGUCCUUAGAUUAUCUUGGGGGUGCCAUGGGCAUCCCCAAGCUUAGGCUCUUGCCACUCCUUGUUCCAUAAUCCAUCAAAUCUUUACCCAAAACUUGAAAACUUCACAACACAAAACUUAAAGUAGAAAAUCUCGUGAGCUCCGUUAGCGAAAGAAAACAAAAGACCACUUCAAGGUACUGUAAUGCACUCAUUAUUUAUUUAUAUUGGUGUUAUACCUACUGUAUUCCAACUUCUCUAUGGAUUAUAAACUAUUUUACUAGCCAUGGAUUCAUCAAAAUAAGCAAACAACACACGAAAAACAGAAUCAGUCAAAAACAGAACAGUCUGUAGUAAUCUGUAGCUAGCGAAAGAUCUGGAACCCCAAAAAUUAUAAAAUAAAUUGAUGGACGUGAGUAAUUUAUCUAUUAAUCAUCUUUAUAAAUAAUUAACCAAAUAUCACUCUCCAAAUAAAAAUAACAGCAGUUCUCGUGAGCGCUAAAGUUUCUGUUUUUUACAGCAAGUUCAACAAGACUUUCCCCAAGUCUUCCCAACGGUUCUACUUGGCACAAACACUAAUUAAACAAAAAAACACAAACAAAACAGAGGCUAAAUAAUUUAUUUAUUACUAAACAGGACCAAAAAGCAAGGAAAAAAUAAAAUUGGGUUGCCUCCCAACAAGCGCCAUCGUUUAACGCCCCUAGCUAGGCAUAACAAACAAGAAUAGGUCUAGGUAUUGCCAUCUUUGGUAGGCAGUCCAUAAGUGGAUUUCAUGAUAGAUUCAUAUGUUAAUUUUAUUUUCUUUACAGGGAAGUGUUACAUGCCCUUUUUUAAUGGAAAUUGGAAUCUAAUAUUCUCUUCCUUCAUAUCAAUAAUUGCACCAACCGUUCUAAGGAAAGGUCUACCGAGAAUAAUAGGGCAAGAAGGAUUGCAAUCUAUAUCAAGAACGAUAAAAUCUAAAGGCACAUAAUUCCUAUUUGCAACAAUAAGAACAUCAUUAAUUCUUCCCAUAGGUUUCUUAAUAGUGGAAUCCGCAAGAUGCAGGUUUAGAGAGCAAUCAUCAAAAUCACGGAAAUCUAGCAAAUCACACAAAGUUUUGGGAAUAGUAGAGACACUAGCACCCAAAUCACACAAAGCAUAAAACUAAUGAUAUUUAAUUUUAAUUUUAAUAGUUGGUUCCCACUCAUCAUAAAGUUUUCUAGGGAUAGAAACUUCUAAUUCAAGUUUUUCUUCAUAAGAUUGCAUCAAGGCAUCAAUGAUAUGUUUAGUAAACACUUUAUUUUGACUAUAAGCGUGAGGAGAAUUGAGCACGGAUUGCAACAAGGAAAUACAAUCAAUCAAAGAGAAAUUUUCAUAGUUAAAUUCCUUGAAAUCCAUAAUAGUGGGUUUAGAAACAUCUAGGGUUUUAAUUUCUUCAAUCCCACUUUUAUCAAAUUUAGCAUCAAGAUCAAAAGAUUCAGAAUUCUUAGAACGCCUGCUAGGUAAAGGUGGAUCAUACUCAGUACCAUCAUUAUCAAGAUUCAUAUUGCAAAACAAAGAUUUAAUAGGGGACACAUCAAUAACUUUUAGAUCUUCAUCAUUAUUUUCAUAGGAACUAGAAGAACACGCUUUUAUAAAGGCAUCUUUCUUAGCACGCAUCCUAGCGGUUCUUUCUUUGCACUCGUCAAUGGAAAUUCUCAUGGCUUUGAGAGACUCAUUGAUAUCAUGCUUAGGUGGAAUAGAUCUUAGUUUCAAAGAAUCAGCAUCAAGAGCAAUUCUAUCAACGUUCCUAGCCAAAUCAUCAAUCUUAAGCAAUUUUUCUUCAAUCAUAGCAUUAAAAUUCUUUUGCGAAGAAAUAAAUUCUUUAAUAUUAGAUUCAAAAUCAGAGGGCAUCUUAUUAUAAUUUCCAUAAGAAUUGUUGUAGGAAUUACCAUAAUUAUUAGAGGGAUUACUAGGAUAAGGCCUAGGGUUGAAAUUUCCUCUAUACGCGUUGUUACCAAAAUUGUUCCUAGCAACAAAAUUCACAUCCAUAGAUUCAUUAUUAUUCUCGAUCAAAGUAGACAAAGGAACAUUAAUAGGAUCAGAAGAAACACUCUUAUUAGCAAAUAAUUUCAUAAGUUCAUCCAUCUUUCCACUCAAAACAUUAAUUUCUUCUAUCGCAUGCACCUUUUUAGUAGAGCUUUCAGUAUGCCAUUGAGAAUAAUUAACCAUAAUAUUAUCUAGGAGUUUAGUAGCUUCUCCUAAAGUGAUUUCCAUAAAAGUGCCUCCCGCGGCCAAAUCUAAAAGAUUUCUAGAAGCAAAAUUCAAUCCGGCAUAAAAAUUUUGUAUAAUCAUCCACAAAUUUAAACCAUGAGUACGGCAAUUACGUAUAAUUAAUUUCAUUCUUUCCCAAGCUUGUGCAACAUCUUCAUGAUCAAGUUGCUUAAAAUACAUAAUAUCGUUUCUAAGAGAGAUGAUCUUAGCGGGAGGAAAAUACUUAGAGAUAAAAGCAUCUUUGCACUUGUUCCAUGAAUCAAUACUAUUUUUAGGCAAAGACGAAAACCAAGCUUUAGCACGAUCUCUAAGCGAAAAAUAAAAUAGCCUCAAUUUAACAAUAUCAUUAUCGACAUCUUUCUUCUUUUGCAUGUCACACAAAUCAACGAAGCUAUUAAGAUGGGUAGCGUCAUCUUCACUAGGAAGGCCGGAGAAUGGAUCUUUCAUGACAAGAUUCAGCAAAGCAGUAUUAAUUUCACAAGAUUCAGCAUCGGUAAGAGGAGCAAUCGGAGUGCUAAGGAAAUCCUUGUUGUUGGUAUUGGUGAAGUCACACAAUUUAGUAUUAUCUUGAGCCAUAGCAACAAACAAGCAAACUAACACACAAGCAAACAAAAAGGCAAACGGGCAAAAAGACAAAUAGAGAGGGAGGAUAGAGAGAGAGAGGGCAAAUAAAACGUCAAGGGUGAAGUGUGGGGGGGAGGAAAACGAGAGGAAAAUGGCAAAUAAUGUAAUGUGGGAGAUAGGGAUUGUGAUGGGUACUUGGUAUGGUGACUUUUGCACAGACUCCCUGGCAACGGCGCCAGAAAUUCUUCUUGCUACCUCUUAAGCACUGCGUUGGAUUUCCCCGAAGAGGAGAGGAUGAUGCAGCAAAGUAGCGUAAGUAUUUCCCUCAGUUUUGAGAACCAAGGUAUCAAUCCAGUAGGAGGCUACGCUCGAGUCCCUUGUACCUACACAAAAACAAUAGCUCAACGCAACCAACACGCUUAGGGGUUGUCAAUCCCUUCAUGGUCACAUACGAAAGUGAGAUCUGAUAGAGAUGAUAAAUAAUAUUUUUGGUAUUUUUGAUAUAGAGAUGCAAAGUGAAAAGUAAAAGGCAAAGUAAUAACAAAGCAAUAAUAAAGUGAUGGAGAUUGAUAUGAUGAGAAAGAGACCCGGGGGCCAUAGGUUUCACUAGUGGCUUCUCUCAAGAGCAUAAGUAUUCUACAGUGGGUGAACAAAUUACUGUUGAGCAAUUGACAGAAUUGAGCAUACUUAUGAGAAUAUCUACGUAUGAUCAUGUAUAUAGGCAUCACAUCCGAGACAAGUAGACCGACUCCUGCCUGCAUCUACUACUAUUACUCCACUCAUCGACCGCUUCGCAGCAUGCAUCUAGAGUAUUAAGUUAAAAACAUAGUAACGCCUUAAGCAAGAUGACAUGUUGUAGAGGGAUAGUUUCAUGCAAUAUGAUAAAAACCCCAUCUUGUUAUCCUCGAUGGCAACGAUACAAUACGUGCCUUGCUGCCCCUUCUGUCACUGGGAAAGGACACCGCAAGAUCGAACCCAACGCUAAGCACUUCUCCCAUGGCAAGAACAACCAAUCUAGUAGGCCAAACCAAAUUGAUAAUUCGAAGAGACUUGCAAAGAUAACCAAUCAUUCAUCAAAGAAUUCAGAGAAGAUUCAAAUAUUAUUCAUAGAUAGACUUGAUCACAAACCCACAAUUCAUCGAUCUCAACAAACACACCGCAAAAAGAAGAUUACAUCAAAUAGAUCUCCACGAGAGAGGGGGAAGAACAUUGUAUUGAGAUCCAAAAAGAAAGAAGAAGCCAUCUAGCUACUAACUAUGGACCCGUAGGUCUGAAGUAAACUACUCACGCUUCAUCGGAGGGGCUUGGAUGAUGAUGCAGAAGCCCUCUGUGAUCGAUGCCCCCUCCAGCUGAGCUGCGGAACAAGCCCCAAGAUGGGAUCUCGUGGAUAUAGAAAGUUGCGGCGGUGGAAUUAGGUUUUUGGCUCCGUUUGAUAUUCCUUUUCUUCGAAACCCUAAAACAGGCAAAGAAACAGCAAUUCUAGGCUGGGCCUUCGAUUAAUAGGUUAGUCCCAAAAAUAAUAUAAAAGUGGAAAAUAAAGCCCAAUAAUGUCAAAACAGUAGAUAAUAUAGCAUGGAGCAAUCAAAAAUUAUAGAUACGUUGGAGACGUAUCAGCCACGAGGUAGGGGGCGCGCCCACCCCUAUGAGGCGUGCCCUCCACCGUCGUGGGCCCCCUGUUGCUCCACCGAUGUACUCCUUCCUCCUAUAUAUCCACGUACCCCCAAACGAUCAGAUACUGAGCCAAAACCCUAAUUCCACCACCGUAACUUUCUGUAUCCACGAGAUCCCAUCUUGGGGCCUGUUCCGGAGCUCCGCCGGAGGGGGCAUCGAUCAUGGAGGGCUUCUACAUCAACACCAUAGCCUCUCCGAUGAAGUGUGAGUAGUUUACCUCAGACCUACGGGUCCAUAGUUAGUAGCUAGAUGGCUUCUUAUCUCUUUUUGGAUCUCAAUACAAUGUUCUACCCAUCUCUUGUGGAGAACUAUUCGAUGUAAUCUUCUUGCGGUGUGUUUGUUGAGACCGAUGAAUUGUGGGUUUGUGAUCAAGUCUAUCUAUGAAUAAUAUUUGAAUCUUCGCUGAAUUCUUUUAUGUAUGAUUGGUUACCUUUGCAAGUCUCUUCGAAUUAUCAGUUUGGUUUAGCCUACUAGAUUGAUCUUUCUUGCAAUGGGAGAAGUGCUUGGCUUUGGGUUCAAUCUUGCGGUGUCCUUUCUCGACGACAGUAAGGGCAGCAAGGCACAUAUUGUAUUGUUGCCAUCGAGAUAACAAGAUGGGGUUUUCUUCAUAUUGCAUGAGUCUAUCCCUCUACAUCAUGUGAUCUUGCUUAAGGCGUUACUCUAUUUUUAACUUUAUACUCUAGAUGCAUGCUGGAUAGCGGUCAAUGAGUGGAGUAAUAGUAGUAGAUGCAGGCAGGAGUCGGUCUACUUGUCUCGGACAUGAUGCCUAUAUACAUGAUCAUACCUAGAUAUUCUCAUAACUAUGCUCAAUUCUGUCAAUUGCUCAACAGUAAUUUGUUCACCCACCAUAGAAUACUUAUGCUCUCGAGAGAAGCCACUAGUGAAACCUAUGGCCCCCGGGUCUAUCUUUAUCAUAUUGAUCUCCUACUACUUAGUUAUUUCCUUUGCUAUUUACUUUGCCUUUAUUUUACUUUGCAUCUUUAUCAUAAAAAUAGUAAAAAUAUUAUCAUAUCAUAUCUUGCAGAUCUCACUCUCGUAAGUGGCCUUAUAGGGACUGACAACCCCUAUUUGCGUUGGUUGCGAGGAUUUAUUUGUUUUGUGCAGGUACGAGGGACUCGCGCGUAGCCUCCUACUGGAUUGAUACCUUGGUUCUAAAAAACUGAGGGAAAUACUUACGCUACUUUGCUACAUAAUCCCUUCCUCUUCGUGGAAAACCAAUGCAGUGCUCAAGAGGUAGCAAGAAGGAUUUCUGGCGCCGUUGUUGGGGAGGUCUACGCAAAAGUCAACAUAACAAGUACCCAUCACAUACCCUUAUCUCUCGCAUUACAUUAUUUGCCAUUUGCCUCUCGUUUUCCUCUCCCCCACUUCACCCUUGCCGUUUUAUUCACCCUCUCUCUCUAUCCUCCCUCUCUUUUCCAUUUGCCUCUGUUGCUUGUUUGCUUGUGUUACCAUGUGCCUUCCAUUUGCUUGCAUCUUUGCUUGCUAAUAAUCAAUUGAUAUGGAUCCACUUAAAGUGUUCUACUUGGAUCAUCUUCGAUCCUUAUGUGCUCGUGCUGAAACCCCAACUAGCCUAGUUGAUGGGAAAUCUUUAGAUGAGCAUGCUCAUUUUGUGCGUCAUCGUUUGUCUGAAAAAGGGAAGCUCUUAUGGUAUCAUAUAAAUAGUUUGCUAUGAUAUGCUUGGAAUCUUUGUGAAAUUUGUGAUUUUACCUGUUGCUCUAAGAACCCUAAAAAACACCUUCCCUACCUAUGUGAGUUCGAUGAUAAUGAAAUCUUAUCUUCUUACACAAAGGGUGUUUAUAGUUACUAUGAUAUCGAACAAAUUGAAGAAUUUGUCGUUUUUAAGGGUGCUCAUGAAGUUGCUUCUUUGAUUGAAAAGUAUGAUUUUACUCUCAAUAAAUCUGAAAAUUCCAUCAUACUUAAAUAUUGCAAUGAAAACUUUGCUCAUAAUGUCUAUGUCCAAGAAUUUAUUGAAAGAAUGACUAUUGCUUUGGAAGAAAAUAAUGAUAUGCAUCAAUCUAUAGAUAAUGAUGAUUCCGAUGAUUUGGUUGAAAUAUCCCUUGAUGAACAUGAUGCUUGCUAUUCUUGUGGCCAUGAUGCCAAUAUUUAUGAAGAUAAAUUUGCUAUAGUUCCUUAUGUUAAACAUGAUAUCAUUGCUAUUGCACCCAUACUUGAUAGUUUCUUCGAUGAAAAGCAUGAUUGCAAUGAUGUUAUUAUAAAUUCUCUUAAUGUUAAUUGUGUUAAUGAUAUGCAAAACCCUAAGCUUGGGGAUGCUAGUUUUGUUAUGACUACUAUUUGUUGCAAUGAUCAUGAUUGGGGUGAUUCUUCUUUUGAUCUUGAAAAUUUAUUUAAGCCCCAUGAUGAAUAUGAGAUUGAUAAUAGUGUUUGCAAUAUUAUUGAAAGUGGGUUUGGAAGAGUGUCAAAUUUAGAUCCCACAUAUUUGGAGAAUGUUCAAUCUUAUGAAGUUUUUGAUAAAAGUGGGUUUGGAGAGGUCAUGACUUUAGUUAAUGUUAAGCCCACUAUUUUGGAAGAGUGACAACUUUGCAUGCAUGUGGAUCAUGUUGAAAAUAUUUUAUGUGAUAGCUAUUAUGUUGAAUUUGCUUAUGAUCCUACAUGUAAUUAUUAUGAGAGAAAUAUGGUGGUAGAAAUUUUCAUGUCACUAGCUAAAUUACCUCUCGUUAUGUUGAGAUUGCUAUUGUUUCUUUCCGCCUCCUUGCAUAUGCAAGUUUUUGCUUGCCUUGAUAAUUUGUUUCCCUAUAAGAUGCCUAUGCAUAAGAAGUAUGUUAGACUUAGAUGUGUUUUUCACCUGUUUUAUGAUGCUCUCUUUGUGCUUCAAUUCUUGUCUUUCAUGUGAGCAUCAUUAAAAUUAUCAAUGCCUAGCUAGGGGCGUUAAACGAUAGCGCUUGUUGGGAGGAAUCCCAAUUUUAUUUUUAUUCCUUGCUUUUUGCUCCUGUUUAGUAAUAAAUAAUUUAUCUAGCCUCUGUUUUGCCUGUGUUUAAUUAGUGUUUGUGCCAAGUAGAACCGUUGGGAAGACUUGGGGAAAGUCUUGUUGAACUUGCUGUAAAAAACAGAAACUUUAGCACUCACGAGAACUACUACCAUUUUUAUUUGGAAAGUUCUAUUUAGUUAAUUCUUUUUAAGAAGAUUAAUAGAUAAAUUCCUCACGUCCAGCAAUUUAUUUUAGAAUUUUUUGGGAUUCCAGAUCUUGCGCUAGCUACAGAUUACUACAGAUUGUUCUGUUUUUGACAGAUUCUGUUUUUCGUGUGUUGUUUGCUUAUUUUGAUGAAUCUAUGGCUAGUAAAAUAGUUUAUAAACCAUAGGGAAGUUGUAAUACAGUAGGUAUAACACCAAUAUAAAUAAAUAAUGAGUUCAUUACAGUACCUUGAAGUGGUCUUUUAUUUUCUUUCGCUAACGGAGCUCACGAGAUUUUCUACUUUAAGUUUUGUGUUGUGAAGAUUCCAAGUUUUGGGUAAAGAUUUGAGGGAUUAUGGAACAAGGAGUGGCAAGAGCCUAAGCUUGGGGAUGCCCAUGGCACCCCCAAGAUAAUCUAAGGACACCCAAAAGCCAUAGCUUCGGGAUGCCCCGGAAGGCAUCCCCUCUUUCGUCUACUUCUAUCGGUAACUUUACUUGGAGCUAUAUUUUUAUUCGCCACAUGAUAUGUGUUUUACUUGGAGCGUCUUGUAUUAUUUGAGUCUUUGCUUGUUAGUUUACCAAAAUCAUCCUUUCUGUACACACCUUUUGAGAGAGCCAUAUAUGAUUCGGAAUUUGUUAGAAUACUCUAUGUGCUUCGCUUAUAUCUUUUGAGUUAUAUAAUUUUGCUCUAGUACUUCACUUAUAUCUUUUAGAGCACGGUGGUGGAUUUGUUUUAUAGAAACUAUUGAUCUCUCAUGCUUCACUUAGAUUAUUUUGAGAGUUUUAAAUAGCAUGGUAAUUUUCUUAAAGUCUUAAUAUGCUUGGUAUACAAGAUUAAUAAUAAAACUUUCUUAUGAGUGUGUUGAAUACUAUGAUAAGUUUGAUACUUGAUAAUUGUUUUGAGAUAUAAAGAUGGUGAUAUUAAAGUUGUGCUAGUUGAGUAGUUGUGAAUUUGAGAAAUACCUUUGUUGAAGUUUGUGAUUCCCGUAGCAUGCACGUAUGGUGAGCCAUUAUGUGAUGAAGUCGGAGCAUGAUUUAUUUUUUGAUUGCCUUCCUUAUGAGUGGCAGUCGGGGACGAGCGAUGGUCUUUUCCUACCAAUCCAUCCCCCAAGGAGCAUGCGCGUAAUACUUUGCUUUGAUAACUUCUAGAUUUUUGCAAUAAGUAUAUGAGUUCUUUAUGACUAAUGUUGAGUCCAUGGAUUAUACGCACUCUCACCCUUCCACCUUUGCUAGCCUCUCUAAUACCGCGCACCUUUCGCCGGUAUCAUACACCCACCAUAUACCUUCCUCAAAACAACCACCAUACCUACCUAUUAUGGCAUUUCCAUAGCCAUUCCAAGAUAUUUUGCCAUGCAACUUUCCACCGUUCCGUUUAUUAUGACACACUGCAUCAUUGUCAUAUUGCAUAUCCCGGUACACCGCCGGAGGCAUUCAUAUAGAGUCAUAUUUUAUUCUAAGUAUCGAGUUGUAAUUGUUGAGUUGUAAGAAAAAUAAAAGUGUGAUGAUCAUCAUUAUUAGAGCAUUGUCCCAGUGAGGAAAGGAUGAUGGAGACUAUGAUUCCCCCACAAGUCGGGAUGACGAAAAAUAAAUAAAAGAGGCCAAAGAAGCCCAAAUAAAAGAGGCCAUAAAAAAGAGAAAAGGCCCAAAUAAAAAAAUAAAAAAAAUGAGAGAAAAAGAGAGAAGGGACAAUGUUACUAUCCUUUUACCACACUUGUGCUUCAAAGUAGCACCAUGAUCUUCAUAGUAGAGAGUCUCUCAUGUUAUCACUUUCAUAUACUACUGCGAAUCUUUCAUUAUAGAACUUGGCUUGUAUAUUCCAAUGAUGGGCUUCCUCAAAUUGCCCUAGGUCUUCAUGAGCAAGCAAGUUGGAUGCACACCCACUUAGUUUCUUUUUGAGCUUUCAUAUACUUAUAGCUCUAGUGCAUCCGUUGCAUGGCAAUCCCUACUCACUCACAUUGAUAUCUAUUGAUGGGCAUCUCCAUAGCCCGUUGAUACGCCUAGUUGAUGUGAGACUAUUUUUUCCCUUUUUGUCUCCUCCACAACCACCACUCUAUUCCACCUAUAGUGCUAUAUCCAUGGCUCACGCUCAUGUAUUGCGUGAAGAUUGAACAAGUUUUGAGAAUGUGAAAGUAUGAAACAAUUGCUUGGCUUAUCAUCGGGGUUGUGCAUGAUUUAAAUAUUUUGUGUGGUGAAGAUAGAACAUAGCCAGACUAUAUGAUUUUGUAGGGAUAACUUUCUUUAGCCAUGUUAUUUUGAGAAGACAUAAUUGCUUUGUUAGUAUGCUUGAAGUAUUAUUAUUUUUAUGUCAAUAUUAAACUUUUGUCUUGAAGCUUUCAGAUCUGAAUAUUCAUACCACAAUUAAGAAGAAUUACAUUAAAAUUAUGCCAAGUAGCACUCCGCAUCAAAAAUUCUGUUUUUAUCAUUUACCUACUCGAGGACGAGCAGGAAUUAAGCUUGGGGAUGCUUGAUACGUCUCCAACGUAUCUAUAAUUUUUGAUUGCUCCAUGCUAUAUUAUCUACUGUUUUGAACAUUAUUGGGCUUUAUUAUCCACUUUUAUAUUAUUUUGGGACUAACCUAUUAAUCGGAGGCCCAGCCCAGAAUUGCUGUUUUUUGCUUGUUUUAGAGUUUCGAAGAAAAGGAAUAACAAACGGAGUCCAAUCGGAAUGAAACCUUCAGGAACGUGAUUUUCUCAAUGAAUAAGACCAGAGAGACUUGGACCCUACGUCAAGAAAGGAAACAGAAGGCCACGAGGUAGGGGGGCGCGCCCACCCCUACCAGGCGCGCCCUCCACCCUCUGUGGCCCCCUGUUGCUCCACCGAUGUACUCCUUCCUCCUAUAUAUAUCCACGUACCCCCAAAUGAUCAGAUACGGAGCCAAAACCCUAAUUCCACCGCCGUAACUUUCUGUAUCCACGAGAUCCCAUCUUGGGGCCUGUUCCGGAGCUCCGCCGGAGGGGGCAUCGAUCACGGAGGGCUUCUACAUCAACACCAUAGCCUCUCCGAUGAAGUGUGAGCAGUUUACCUCAAACCUACGGGUCCAUAGUUAGUAGCUAGAUGGCUUCUUCUCUCUUUUUGGAUCUCAAUACAAUGUUCUCCCCCUCUCUUGUGGAGAACUAUUCGAUGUAAUCUUCUUUUUGCGGUGUGUUUGUUGAGACCGAUGAAUUGUGGGUUUAUGAUCAAGUCUAUCUAUGAAUAAUAUUUGAAUCUUCUCUGAAUUCUUUUAUGUAUGAUUGGUUAUCUUUGCAAGUCUCUUCGAAUUAUCAGUUUGGUUUGGUCCACUAGAAUGAUCUUUCUUGCAAUGGGAGAAGUGCUUAGCUUUGGGUUCAAUCUUGCAGUGUCCUUUCCCGGUGACAGUAAGGGCAGCAAGGCAUGUAUUGUAUUGUUGCCAUCGAGGAUAACAAGGUGGGGUUUUCUUCAUAUUGCAUGAGUCUAUCCCUCUACAUCAUGUCAUCUUGCUUAAGGCGUUACUCUAUUUUUAACUUAAUACUCUAGAUGCAUGCUGGAUAGCGGUCGAUGAGUGGAGUAAUAGUAGUAGAUGCAGGCAAGAGUCAGUCUACUUGUCUCGGACGUGAUGCCUAUAUACAUGAUCAUACCUAGAUAUUCUCAUAACUAUGCUCAAUUCUGUCAAUUGCUCAACAGUAAUUUGUUCACCCACCGUAGAAUACUUAUGCUCUCGAGAGAAGCCACUAGUGAAACCUAUGGCCCCCGGGUCUAUCUUUAUCAUAUUGAUCUCCUACUACUUAGUUAUUUCCUUUGCUAUUUACUUUGCCUUUAUUUUGCGUUGCAUCUUUAUCAUAAAAAUACCAAAAAUAUUAUCUUAUCAUAUCUAUCAGAUCUCACUCUCGUAAGUGGCCUUAUAGGGACUGACAACCCCUAUUUGCAUUGGUUGCGAGGAUUUAUUUGUUUUGUGCAGGUACGAGGGACUUGCGCGUAGCCUCCUACUGGAUUGAUACCUUGGUUCUCAAAAACUGAGGGAAAUACUUACGCUACUUUGCUACAUAAUCCCUUCCUCUUCGGGGAAAACCAACGCAGUGCUCAAGAGGUAGCACCAUCCUAAGAGAAUUGAGCAAGAUUCUCAGAGAAUAUAAUGUAGAUGCACCUAGACCUUCUAAGAGGAAGAAAAGGAAAAAUGAUAGGACUUUGCCUGCUUCUAGUGAACCUGUUGUUGACACACCUGAGAAUCCCAAUGAUAUUUCUAUUUCUGAUGCUGAGACCCAAUCUAGUAAUGAACAUGAACCUAGUGAUAAUGUUAAUGACGUUUUUCAUGUUGAUGCUCAACCUAGCAAUGAUAAUGCUGUAGAAAUUGAACCUGAUGUUGAUCUUGAUAACCCACAAUCAAAGAAUCAACGUUAUGAUAAAAGAGACUUCGUUGCUAGGAAGCACGGUAAAGAAAGAGAACCAUGGGUUCAGAAACCCAUGCCUUUUCCUCCCAACCGAUCCAAGAAAAAGGAUGAUGAGGAUUUUGAGCACUUUGCUGAAAUGAUUAGACCUAUCUUUUUGUGUAUGUGUUUGACUGAUAUGCUUAAAAUGAAUCCUUAUGCUAAGUAUAUGAAGGAUAUUGUUACUAAUAAGAGAAAGAUACCGGAAGAUGGAAUUUCCACCAUUCUUGCUAAUUAUACGUUUAAGGGGGGAAUACCAAAGAAACUUGGGGAUCCAGGAGUACCCACUAUACCAUGAUCCACUAAAAGAAACUAUGUUAAAACUGCUUUAUGUGAUCUUGGAUCCGGUGUUAGUGUUAUGUUUCUCUUUUUAUAUCGUAGACUUGAUUUGAAUAAGUUGACACCUACUGAAAUAUCUUUGCAAAUGGCUGAUAAAUCAACUGCUAUACCUGUCGGUAUUUGUGAGGAUGUGCCUAUUGUGGUUGCAAACGUUAGUAUUUUAAUGGACUUUGUUAUUCUUGAUAUUCCCAAGGACGAUAGUAUCUCUAUUAUUCUUGGAAGACCCUUUUUGAAUACUGUAGGGGCUGUUAUUGAUUGCAACAAAGGCAAUGUCACUUUUCAUGUUAAUGGUAAUGAGCAUACGGUACACUUUCCGAGGAAAGAACCUCAAGUUCACAGUACCAAUUCUAUUGGAAAAUUUUCAACAAUUACUUUUGGAGGUUUUGAAUUUCCUCUUCCUACUGUCAAGAAGAAAUAUGAUAUUCUUAUUCUUGGGGACAUGCAUAUCCCCGUUGAGAUAACAUAGUGUUAUUCGAAAAUUCUCCGGUUUCAUGUUAUUCGGAAAGAGUUUGUUAACAAGACUUGAUCAACCUUGUUAGUGGAUUCCUUUUGAUGAGCAUGAGAUGGAUGAAGUUAGAAAACACAACUCUCUGUACCCUCCUUUUACUUUCUAUAAUUUAGAUUAAAUAAAGUAAUAUUAAUAUUUUCUGUCUGUUUUCUGGAUUAUCCGUGCAAUGAAAAAUACCACGAAAAUAAAAUUUCUCCAAAUGCCCUGAAAAUGAAAUAUGUUUUUUUAUAGAAUAUUUGAGAAUAAUUGGCACUGAGAACACAUCAGGGGGAGCAAGCACCUGACCACGAGGGUCGAGGGCGUGCCCCUUGCCUCGUGGGCCCCCGGUGGCCCCCCUCCACUUAUUCCAGCCACCACACACUCCUUCCUCCCAAAAAAAUCACCAACCAGCUCAAGCAUGCUCAUCUUGCUGCCAUUUUCGAUCUCCUAGCUCAAAGCUCCAUUCCCAAAACUGCUUUGUUGGAUUGUUCUUUGGUAUGUGACUCCUCCAAUGGUCCAAUUAGUUUUUGUUCUAGUGCUUUAUUCAUUGCAAAUUUUUGCUGCCCAGGUGACCCUGUUCUUGAGCUUGCAUGUCAAAUUUAUAUGGUCCCAAGUAGUUUUAAUGCAUGAUAUUGCCUCUAGGCACUUGUAGGAGUAGUUGCUAUCAAUCUUGUUGAGUUUGGUUCACUUUUAUUUUGAGUUACUAAAAAUUUCAGAAAUUUUUCAGAGGAAGAAAUAUGUUCAGGAAAUUGUACCAAGGGGGUUCUUCAAGGAAGCAAGGACCCAGGCCCGCAAUACGCGAGCCGGACAAUGAACUACCAAGGGAGGCUCUAGUGCGGCCUUGUGAAUGGUCGUCAGAGGACUUCAUGGUUCAGGCAAGAAUUAAGGAAGAAUUUGACGCAUAUGUGUGUAACGCUGAUCUAGAGAGCUUCGAGGCAGAUAAGUGUCGGCAAUACCUCUACUUAACUGAUUCGUUUGUGAGAAGAUUUAAAUUUACAUCAUCAAGCAAUUCUCAAACUGUCUUGUUUGAUCUUUAUGAUAAAUCUUAUACCAUGGAUUUAGAGGAUUUUAAUACUACUUGUAAACUCAUGCAGUGGGGUAAUGUUAGUGAACCCCGCAAAUCUGAAUAUAAAGACUUUCUUGCUAGUAUAACUGUGGGGGAAUCUAGGGAGAUCACGCAAGCUACCAUAGGGAGCAUUCAUUUUCCUGCUAUACAUUAUUUUGCUCUCUUUAUAGGUAGAUGCAUAAAUGGUAAGGAUGAGGCAUGUCACAUGUGUGUUCCAGAUCUUAGUGUUCUCAAGAGUGCUGUAUUAGGAGAUAGACAAUAUAACUUGGGGGCCAUUCUUGCACGUAGGUUGCAUAACAAUAGUAUUCAUGGAGAUUUCUUUGGUGGAAUUUAUGCAACUUGUAUAGCUAACUUUCUUGAGAUACCCAUACGUGGAGAUGAUAUUGAGUUACCUCCUUCUUAUCUUGAUUAUGAUGCUAUGGUUCGUCAUCAGUUUGUUGAGAGGAACAAUCAGUUCCUCCAGUACCGACUAAUCUUUGACAGAUGACGUACCUAUCAUGUUGCUCUCCCUACUCCUACUUUCUUUGACUUUCAGACAAAAGGGAGAUAUGUUAUAACCAGGGAAGAGGCGAGUGAGUAUGAGAGGAGGACGGAGGCAGCCCGCCUCCAAGCUGCAGCCCUUGAGGCAGUAGCUGAUGCAUCUCAGUAUGACCCUAGUUUCAACUUCGGAUAUCCACCAGGCCAUCCAUGGGCAUAGACGAACUUAGGCCAAAAGCCUAAGCUUGGGGGAGUACGUAUUUCCCACCGACAUUAUAUUUAUGCUCACACACUCAUUCUAGUUGUCGGUGCUCAUACUUUUUCAUUGUAUCAUCCAUGCUAGUUUAUUUUCCUUUUUAUCGCUUUCUUCUUGUGUGUUUGAAUAACCUUAAGAAAAACCAAAAAAAAUAGUAGCUUUUAGCUAGUUUACUUUCCUUGCCUAUAAUUGUAAUUAAAGGAAAACCCAAAAAGAUUUCUCAUUCUUCUUUUGCUUGUUGGGAAUUUUCCCGUGUAAGUAGUUUUAUUUCUUUUCUUGUUCUUUGGGGGUUGAGAGGAGAAGACCAUGAUGAAAAUGAUAAAUGGCUCUCAUAUGCAUUAUUGUUAAUUUAACCAAGAGCCAUAUUACCUUGUCUUCUCAUGUGUAUUGAAUGCUUGCAUAUUCCAGCUUAGUCUAAUGCACGUGCACUAUUAUUAUUUUCCACACCGUUUGGUCGUGCAAGUGAAAGUCAAUAAUGACGAUAUAUGAUGGACUGAUUGAGAUGAGAAAAGCUGGUAUGAACUCGACCUCUCUUAUUUUUGUAAAUAUGAUUAGUUCAUCAUUCCUGAUUCAGCCUAUUAUGGAAUAAACAUGUUUGCAAUGACAAUUAGAGAUUAUAGUUGCUUAUGCCAUGCUUAAUUAGCUAGGAGUUUAUAAUGGUUUACCUUGUGUGCCAACAUGCUAUUAAAAUGGUUGUGAUGUGGUAUGAUAGGGUGGUAUCCUCCUUUGAAUGAUUUGAGUGUCUUGACUUGACACAUGUUCACGCAUGUAGUUGAAACAAAAUCAACAUAGCCUCCCCGAUAUUUAUGUUCAUGGUGAAUUUUAAUGCAUGUUCAUGACUGUUGUCGCUCUCUAGCUGGUUGCUUCCCAGUCUCUUUCUAGCAUUCACUUGUACUAAGCGGGAAUACUGCUUGUGCAUCCAACUCCAUAAACCCCAAAGUUAUUCCUUAUGAGUCCACCAUACCUACCUAUAUGAGGUAUCUACCUGUCAUUCCAAGUAAAUUUGUAUGUGCCAAACUCUAAACCUUCAAAUGAAAUUCUGUUUUGUAUGCUCGAAUAGCUCAUGUAUCAACUAGGGCUGCCUGUAUCUUCCAUGCUAGGCGGGUUAUUCUCAAGAGGAGUGGAAUCCGCUCCUCAUUCACGAGAAAAUGGCUGGUCAUCGGGAUGCCCAGUCCCAUGCUUUAAGAAAAUCAAAUCAAAUUAAUUGCAAACAAAAAUCCCCCAGGAUUGUUGUUACUUUGAGGCACCCAUUGUUUCGGGCAAGCCAUGGAUUGAUGCUUGUUGGUGGUGGGGGAGUAUAAACUUUACCAUUCUGCUUGGGAACCGCCUAUAAUGUGAGUAGCAUGGAAGAUAUCGAAAUCUCUCGGUUGUUAUGUUGACAAUGAAAGUAUACCGCUCAAAAUAUUAUUCAUCUCUAUUUCAAAAUCGAGCUCUGGCACCUCUACAAAUCCCUGCUUCCCUCUAAGAAGGGCCUAUCUAUUUACUUUUAUGUUGAGUCGUCAUCCUCUUAUUAAAAAGCACCAGUUGGAGAGCACCGAUGUCAUUUGCAUCCAUUACUAUUAAUUUAUAUUGAGUGUGACUAUGACUGGAUCUCUUUUUACCAUGAAUUACAAUUUCCAGUCAGUCCUUGAUCUUCAGAGGUGCUCUGCAUUUAUGUUUUGCGGUCUCAGAAAGGGCUAGUGAGAUACCAUCUUGUUAUAUCAUAUUAUGAUUGUUUUGAGAAAGUGUUGUCAUCCGAGAUUUAUUAUUAUUGCUCGCUAGUUGAUUAUGCCAUUGAUAUGAGUAAAUGUGAGACCUAAAUGUUAUUGUGAAUAUGGUUAGUUCAUAAUCUUUGCUGAAAACUUGAAUGUUGGCUUUACAUAUUUGCAACAACAAGAGCAAACAGAGUUUGUAAAAGUUUUUCUUUAUCACUUUCAGUUUAUCAACUGAAUUGCUUGAGGACAAGCAAAGGUUUAAGCUUGGGGGAGUUGAUACGUCUCCGUCGUAUCUAAUUUUCCAAACACUUUUGCCCUUGUCUUGGACUCUAACUUGCAUGAUUUUAAUGGAACUAACCCGGACUGACGCUGCUUUCAGCAGAAUUGCCAUGGUGUUAUUUUUGUGCAGAAAUAAAAGUUCUCGGAAUGAUCUGAAAAUCAACGAAGAUUAUUUUUGGAAUAUAUAAAAAAUACUGGCGCGAUAAUCAAGGCCAGGGUGACCACACCCUGUCCACGAGGGUGGGGGCGCACCUACCCCCAUGGGCGCGCCCCUUGCCUCGUGGGCCCCUGGUGCUCCACCGACCUCAACUCCAACUCCAUAUAUUCGUGUUCGGGGAGAAAAAAUCAAAGAGAAGGAUUCAUCGCGUUUUACGAUACGGAGCCGCCACCAAGCCCUAAACUCUCUCGUGAGGGCUGAUCUGGAGUCCGUUUGGGGCUUUGGAGAGGGGAAUCCGUCGCCAUCGUCAUCAUCAACCUUCCUCCAUCAUCAAUUUCAUGAUGCUCACCGCCGUGCGUGGGUAAUUCCACCGUAGGCUUGCUGGACGGUGAUGGGUUGGAUGAGAUUUACCAUGUAAUCGAGUUAGUUUUGUUAGUGUUUGAUCCCUAGUAUCCACUAUGUUCUGAGAUUGAUGUUGCUAUGACUUUGCUAUGCUUAAUGCUUGUCACUAGGGCCCGAGUGCCAUGAUUUCAGAUCUGAACCUAUUAUGUUUUCAUGAACAUAUUUGUGUUUUUGAUCCUAUCUUGCAAGUCAAUAGUCACCUAUUAUGUGUUAUGAUACGUUAACCCCGAAGUGAUAAUAAUCGGGAUAAUUACCGGUGAUGACCGUAGUUUGAGGAGUUCAUGUAUUCACUAAGUGCUAAUGCUUUGGUCCGGUACUCUAUUAAAAGGAGGCCUUAAUAUCCCUUAGUUUCCAAUGGGACCCCACUUCCACAGGAGGGUAGGACAAAAGAUGUCAUGCAAGUUCUUUUCCAUAAGCACGUAUGACUACAUUCGGAAUACUUGCCUACAUUACAUUGAUGAACUGGAGCUAGUUUUGUGUCACCCUAGGUUAUAACUUUUACAUGAGGGAUUGCAUCCGACAUAAUUCUCCAUCACUGAUCCAAUGCCUACGAGCUUUUCAUAUAGUGUUCUCCGCUUAUUUACUUUUCCGUUGCUACUGUUACAAUCACUAUAAAACCAAAACGGCUAUCGUUACUUUUGCCACUGGUACCACUACUAUCAUAUUACUUUGCUACUAAAUACUUUGUUGCAGAUAUUAAGUUAUCCAGGUGUGGUUGAAUUGACAACUCAGCUGCUAAUACUUGAGAAUAUUCUUUGGCUCCCCUCGUGUCGAAUCAAUAAAUUUGGGUUGAAUACUCUACCCUCGAAAACUGUUGUGAUCCCCUAUACUUGUGGGUUAUCAGUUAUAUGAUCCAAUUAUGUUAUUAUUGUUUAGAGAACUUGCACUAGUGAAAGUAUGAACCCUAGGCCUUGUUUCCUAGCAUUGCAAUACCGUUUACGCUCACUUUUACCACUUGCUACCUUGCUGUUUUUAUAUUUUCAUAUUACAAAAACCUAUAUCUACCAUCAUUAUUGCACUUAUAUCACCAUCUCUUCGCCGAACUAGUGCACCUAUACAAUUUACCAUUGUAUUGGGUGUGUUGGGGACACAAGAGACUCUUUGUUAUUUGGUUGUAGGGUUGCUUGAGAGAGACCAUCUUCAUCCUACGCUUCCCACGGAUUGAUAAACCUUAGGUCAUCCACUUGAGGGAAAUUUGCUACUGUCCUACAAACCUCUGCACUUGGAGGCCCAACAACGUCUACAAGAAGAAGGUUGUAUAGUAGACAUCACGGUUCUUUCACCUAGUGGUUUAAUAACUCAUUAUGAUGUAAAAACAAUCUGUAAAUUAAAUGGAAAACACAAAAUUAAAAGAAAAUUAAAUGAUAAAACAAAAAAAACCCAAAAUUUUUAGGACCGGUUGGUGUUAAUUACCAACCGGUACUAAAGGUCUCCCCGCCCCCGGCGCUAGCUCGUGCCACGUGGUGGCCCUUUAGUGGCGGUUCGUGCUGAAUUGGUACUAAAGGGGUGUAAUGCCCGGAUAAUUAAGCUACAGUGAAUCUCCGCUAAUGAUGCCACGUCACCCCGGUUACUGUUGAUAAACCCGCGUAGUUCGAAACCCAGUUCAAAAUUCAAAUUUAAAAUAAAGGCAAACAGUAAAAGUUUUCAAAUAUUAAAAAUAAAAUGUUCGGAGUGAGCCAAAUAAUCCAUAUUAAAUAUUGGUGAAGAAACCACACCUUUAUAAAAUGUUUAAAUAAUAUGAGAUGGGUAAAACAGCAGCAAAACAAUUAUUUUAUAUGCUUUUAAAUACUAAACAAGUGUUAUUCUAGUUUAUAUAAUCACCAAACUUUUUGGAGUAGGUGGCCUAUGUUAUUAUGCUAAUUUAGGAGUAGGGGUUAUAUUUUUGUAAAGCUGUUUUGCUAAUUAAAAUAAAUAAAAUAGAAAAGGGAAAAAUAAUAAAAAUAGAAAAAACAAAAGAAAUUAAAAGCCCCCCCCCCUCACUGGGCCUCGGCCCAGCUGGCCAUCCANNNNNNNNNNNNNNNNNNNNNNNNNNNNNNNNNNNNNNNNNNNNNNNNNNNNNNNNNNNNNNNNNNNNNNNNNNNNNNNNNNNNNNNNNNNNNNNNNNNNNNNNNNNNNNNNNNNNNNNNNNNNNNNNNNNNNNNNNNNNNNNNNNNNNNNNNNNNNNNNNNNNNNNNNNNNNNNNNNNNNNNNNNNNNNNNNNNNNNNNNNNNNNNNNNNNNNNNNNNNNNNNNNNNNNNNNNNNNNNNNNNNNNNNNNNNNNNNNNNNNNNNNNNNNNNNNNNNNNNNNNNNACUAGGUUGGCCCACCUAACCCUUGCUUAACCCCCUGCCUCUCCCCGUGACCUAGCCACUACCCAGUCAACCCCCCAUGAUCCCCUUAUCCCCUCCCCGCGCGAUCUGGAUCGGGCGCACGCCCCGCCCCCGACACGGUCGCCCUCGCCGCCCGGAACGACUCCGCCGCCCGAGGACCUCGCUGGACCGCCUCCACCUCGUCGCUGCCUUCCACGUCUUCCUCCCUGACUCGCGUCACCAAGCCUCGCCGCCCAGUGCCCCUGCAACGCCGGUGAGGCCAUCGGCCUCCGCCUUCCCUCCUCCUCUUCCCCUUCGUCGCCUUGCACACUCGCUGACCGGGCCUCCAACAUGCUCACCAUGACCACGCCGUGCCCCUACCACCACACCGCUCUGCCGACUCCGUCGGCCGCGCCUGCUGUUGCUUCAGCAACGGCCACCGUCCGCAGCUCGAACCGCUCCCCCACCUGCCGGUUCCCAGCCGCACCUGCUGCACCAUUGCCCUAUCCGCCAUGCCCGCCUCUGCUCGCCCGCGCCCUCCCUUGCGUCCUUGCACGCAUCCGCCACGCCGGCACUGCCCAGCUCCGCCAUGGCCCUCCUCCCUUCACCCCCCUGGCCUCCCUCUGCUUCCUCUGGAAGCGCAUGAGCGCGCGCUCGCCCCCGGUGGCCUUCGUGACUCGAGUUGCCGCCCAUAGCAGCGAUCUGGCGUGCCUCCGCCAUGGCUCGAGGCCACCAGCGUUUAAACACCGGCCUAAUAGGCCAUUAGUGCUAAUUGCGCUAUUAACCCUCCUGAUAAGCCAAUAACACAUGGGGCCACCCCGCUAAUUAAUUAGCUGGCUAAAUAAACCUCUUUUAAUUUACCUCUCAUUGACAGUCGGGCCCCACCACUUGUUUGAGUUAAUUUAAAAGGUUAAACUCUGGUAAAACAGGCUCUGUCUAUGACAGGUGGCCCCCUGGUCAGUUUGACUAGUCAACGUCCACAGUUGACUGCUGACUGGGCAGUCAACUGGGACCACUGUCAGCCACACAUUACACCCCUGGGUACACUUCUCUGUGUACCCAUAGCAAUUAAUGUAUAUUAUUUUUCAAAUUAAAUUAAAUCCAGUAAAUUAGAAAAUGUGUUAAAACUUUAAAAAUUAAUAUAAAAUAAUCCGUAACUCGGAUGAAAAUACUUUGUACAUGAAAGUUGCUCAGAACGACGAGACGAACCCGGAUACACAGCUCGUUCGUUCGCCACACAUACCUAACAUAGCGAACACGCAACUUUCCCCCUCCGUUUCAUCUGUCCGAAAACGCGAAACACCGGGAAUACUUUUCCGGAUGUUUUCCCCCUUCACCGGUACCACCUCGUACCGCGUUAGGGGACACCUAGCAUCACGUUUUGUCAUGUCAUGCAUCAUUAUGCACCUGUUUGCAUUAUAUUUAUUGUUUCUUCCCCCUCUUCUCUCGCUAGACACCGAGACCGACGCCGCUGCUACCCAGUACGACUACAGUGUUGACGACCCCUCUCUCUUGCCAGAGCAACCAGGCAAGCCCACCUUGAUCACCAGAUAUCGCCUACUCUCUUUCUACUGCUUGCAUUAGAGUAGUGUAGCAUGUUACUGCUUUCCGUUCAUCCUAUCCUGAUGCAUAGCCUGUCCUUGCUACUACUGUUGUUACCUUUACCUGCAAUCCUAAUGCUUAGUAUAGGAUGCUAGUUUUUCAUCAGUGGCCCUACAUUCUUAUCCGUCUGCCAUGCUAUACUAUCGGGCCGUUAUCACUCGGGAGGUGAUCACGGGUAUAUACUAUAUACUUUAUACAUGAUACAUGUGAUGACCAAAGUCGGGUUGGCUCAAGGAGUACCCGCAGUUGAUUCACGAAUUGGGGGCUGGAAGGACAUACUUUCCCGAUGGCCCUCUGUGUGGAUCUUUGUGGUGGAGCGACAGGGCAGGUUGAGACCACCUGGCCCUGGUCGGCGUCCGUGGUUAUUUCAAAAUAACAUGCUUAACAAGAUCUUGGUAUUUGAUCUGAGUCUGGCUACUGGCCUAUAUGCACUAACCAUCUACGCGGGGACAGUUAUGGGCACUCGACGUCGUGGUAUCAGCCGAAGCCUUCGUGACGUCAGCGACUGAGCAGCGCGCGCCGGAUUGGACCGUAAGCCUGCUCUUGUAUUAAGGGGGCUAGUUCUGCUUCCGGCCGCGUUCGCAAUGUGCAGGUGUGCAAAGGGCGAUGGGCCCAGACCCCUGCGCCAUAGGAUUUAGACCGGCGUGCUGACCUCUCUGUUGUGCCUAGGUAGGGCUGCGACGUGUUGAUCUUCCGAGGCCGGGCAUGACCCAGGAAAGUGUGUCCGGCCAAAUGGGAUCGAGCGUGUUAGGUUAUGUGGUGCACCGCUGCAGGGAUGUUAAUCUAUUCGAAUAGCCGUGAUCUUCGGUAACAGGACGACUUGGAGUUGUACCUUGACCUUAUGACAACUAGAACCGGAUACUUAAUAAAACACACCCUUCCAAGUGCCAGAUACAACCGGUGAUCGCUCUCUCACAGGGCGACGAGGGGAGGAUCAUCGGUUAGGAUUAUGCUACGUGAUGAUACUUGGAGGACUUCAGUCUACUCUCUUCUACAUGCUGCAAGACGGAGGCUGCCAGAAGCGUAGUCUUCGAAAGGACUAGCUAUACCCCUCUUAUUCCGGCUUUCUGCAGUUCAGUCCACAUAUAAUAGCCUUAUUCCAGUUGGUACCAAUGCAUACAUAUGUAGUGUAGCUCCUUGCUUGCGAGUACUUUGGAUGAGUACUCACGGUUGCUUUCUCCUUCUUUUCCCUCUAUCCCUUCUACCUGGUUGUCGCCACCAGAUGUUGGAGCCUAGGAGCCAGACGCCACCAUCGACGACGACCCCUACUACACCAGAGGUGCCUACUACUACGUGCUGCCCGCUGACGGCGACCAGGAGUAGUUAGGAGGAUCCCAGGCAGGAGGCCUGCGCCUCUUUCGAUCUGUAUCCCAGUUUGUGCUAGCCUUCUUAAGGCAAACUUGUUUAACUUAUGUCUGUACUCAGAUAUUGUUGCUUCCGCUGACUCGUCUAUGAUCGAGCUCUUGAAUUCGAGCCUUCGAGGCCCCUGUCUUGUAAUAUGAUGCUUGUAUGACUUUUUUUUCUAGAGUUGUGUUGUGAUAUCUUCCCGUGAGUCCCUGAUCUUGAUCGUACACGUUUGCGUGUAUGAUUAGUGUAUGAUUGAAUCGGGGGUGUCACAAGUUGGUAUCAGAGCCGACUACCUGUAGGAAUCCCCCUUCCACACUCCUUGGCCGAAGUUGAGUCUAGACAUUACAAAAACUUUUACUAACAUGGUUGUGUGCCUUACAGGCCCACAUCGCCAUCUGGGUGGUAUUAGGCUCUUUUACUCCUCGAUCCUUACUCUGGGACACUGAACUCUCUCCUACUCGGGUUAAACGAUUUUACUAACUCUAACACUAGGAUCCCGUGACCACGUUCACCCCAAAGUUGGAUAAGCCCUAGUUAUUCUUUAGAGUAGUAUUUGAACAUUAUCCACAUUGUCAUUUGACUCCUGUGAAAACAUCUUUGUUUUCAGAUGGAACCCACGAGGCAGGUCAUGCGCCACACAACGGCCAUUGGUGCCUCAGGAUCACUUGCUGUGUUGGUUGAGAUGAUGACCUAUCUGGGUUAUCACUGGCACCCUGAGUACACCGUCUAUGAGGAGUAUCAAGACUUCAACCAGGAGCAGUACCGUGCCAUCGUCCACCUCUACUCUCGGGAGUAUGACUCCACUACCGUGCUGCACACUGCUCAUGGAGUUGGAGUGACUAUCGAUAUGGCGGCCCAUGAUGCUGCUUAUGCUGCUCUGACACGUCUUCGUGGAGAGUAUCAGGAGUUGGAUACCUCCCCCUUCAGGCACAUUGCUAUCGCAUCCGAUGUUGGUACGGAGGGAUACUACACUGCUGCCUACUCCACUGUCACUCGAGAGCCCUUCUACCAUCAAAACCUGGUUCUGCAUGCUGAUGGGCUGGAUAGAGCUAACCGAGCUCUUCGCCACGAGUUGUACACCACCCGUCAGCACCUGUAUCGUGCUCUGACGCUGUUGCACCCCUCUGUCCGCUCUGGGGAUCUAUCGCAUUCUGCGAUCUACCCUGCCCGGACCGUGAUGCCCCAGGGCGUUGGCUGGCCAGAUGUGGGAGGCUACUCUCCUGCAUUGGGUCCUCUCCUGCCACCUGCGCAUCGGGUUCCGCACCAGAGUAUCCGCGGACCCCAGGCUACUCGCGUGGAGGUCUUCCCUUCGCGUCACUACCAGUUGUCGGGCUACACCUACCUCCGCAGUACCGCAUGGGACUGAUGUAGACUUGCUUGUUAGUGUUAGAUGCAUUCGCCGCGAGCCUGUGUGCCGCCUAUGAUGACUUAGCCUGUGUACCGAACUCUGUGUAACAAACUCUAUGCAUGAUCUCUUUUGUAAGAUAUGCCGACUACUAUGUAGUAUCUAUCGUGCGGCUUUCGUUGUGCAUGUUUCAUCAUGAAUGAUUCUUGUCUUUGCAAAUUUCUCAAUGCUAAACUACCCCUGUUAUAUAUUAGCAGGAUGGUUAGACCAGGUGGUCGUGGUCGUGGUCGUGGUGGCAACGCCCACCACCGCCUGAGUACAUGGCUGGGAUGAUGCAACAGUUUGAGCUGAAUCGUCAGUUCAUGGAGAAUAUUACGGCUCGGUUUCCUCGCCCCAAUAUGAACCAGCAGCCAACCCAAGUGCCUCUGCAAGAUUUCAUGCGCCUCAACCCAACCAUGUACCGCAGCUCAACUCAGCCUCUGGAUGCUGACGACUGGCUCCGAGACAUCACCUAUGAGAUGGAGUCUGCUGAUGUAGCCCCUGCCAGCUAUGUCACCUUUGCUUCCUUCUUCCUGAAAGGACCCGCGGCUCAAUGGUGGGACAGCCACAGGCGUACUCUGCCAGCUGGAACAAUCAUCACCUGGCCAGACUUCCAAGCUACCUUUCGUGCUCGCUUCAUUCCUCAGGGAGUCAUGGAACGGAAGAAGCGUGAGUUCCGCAACCUCACCCAAGGCAACAAAACUGUGGAAGCUUACCAGCGGGAGUUUCUUGACUUGUCCCGCUAUGCUGAAGAAGACAUUGCGACUGAUGCACGCAGACAGGAGAAGUUCCGUGAUGGCCUUCAAGCUGACAUCAAGCUCGCACUUCUAGUGCAUGACUUUGCUGAUUUCGCCACUCUGGUGAACAAAGCCAUCAAUGUCGAAACUGGUCUGCAGGAAUACCAGAGCUCUCAUAGGCGCAACCGUGACACGGGCUCAUCUUCGGGCCCGUCUUCGCAGAAGCGUAAGAUAUGGAUUCCCAACAGUAUGUACCAGCCAAAUGCACCUGCCCCAAGGCAGACCUAUGAUGCACCUCGUCUGCCUGCUCCUCCAACUAGGCAGCCAAGACUUCCAGCUCCACCACCACAAGCUCCUGUUCCCACUCCCAACAAUGGUCUCUGCUACAAGUGUGGUCAGCCAGGUCACCGUGCUAGGGAUUGCAAUCAGAACCAGAAUCAACUGGCCCUCCCAGCAACUGGCCGUGGAAGCAACCAGCCUCGCAACAACAGUGCCAAGUCUUAUGGUCGUGUUCAUGCCAACCAUGUUGAUCUCAAUGAAGUUCUAGACCAGCCUGCUACCGUGAUGGGUACACUCCUCGUAAAUUCAGUACUAGCAUCUGUUUUAUUUGAUACGGGAGCAUCGCAUUCAUUCAUAUCAGCUGAGUUUGCUUUCAUGCAUGGCAUUCAAUACGAAGAGAUGAACACUGCGAUUGUGGUGCACACUCCUGCGGGCCAGUGUCAAACCUCUAUGGUUAGUCACGAUGUUCCCAUUGAAAUUGAAGGACUGGAAUUCCUUGCCUCUCCCAUCGUACUGAAGUCCUGUAGCAUCGACCUCAUUCUGGGAAUGGAUUGGUUGAAAGCGCAUACUGCUUCUAUAGUUUGCGCCACUAAGGUCGUCCAUCUGCUACACCCUACUGAUGAAAUAAUUGCUUACCAAGCUCAUCUAGUUCAGAACGCCGAGGCACGUCUUUAUGCCUUGAAUGCGUUGAACGCUGCACCACUCGAGGGCAUUGGAAACAUUCCUGUCGUUCGUGAAUUCCAAGAUGUCUUCCCAGAAGAACUUCCAGGGAUUCCCCCUGCUAGAGCUGUCGAAUUCAUCAUCGACUUGAAACCCGGCACUACCCCUAUAGCUAAAUGACCCUACAAGAUGCCGCCGCAUGAACUCAUUGAGCUUAAGGAGAAAAUCGACAAAUCUCUUGUCAAAGGUUUCAUUUGCCCAAGUUGCUCUCCUUGGGGAGCACCUUCUCUCUUUGUUAAGAAGAAGGAUGGGACAAACCGAUUAGUCCAAGACUACCGUCCUAUAAACCAAGCUACCAUUCAGAAUAAAUAUCCUCUUCCCCGGAUCAAUGAUCUUUAUGAUCAACUGGCUGGCUCAUCAGUGUUCUCCAAACUCGACUUGAGGUUGGGUUACCACCAGAUCCGUGUUCGUGAGGAGGACAUCCCAAAAACCGCCUUCGUGACUCGGUAUGGAUCAUACGAGUACACCGUCAUGUCAUUCGGCUUAACGAAUUCUCCCGCCACCUUCUCUCGUCUGAUGAACUAUAUAUUCAUGGAUUACCUCGACAAGUUUGUCGUGGUUUAUCUGGACGAUAUCCUUGUAUUUUCCAAGAACGAAGAAGAACAUGCUGCACAUCUUCGUCUUGUGCUGGAAAAACUUCGAGAGCAUCAACUGUAUGCUAAGUAUUCCAAGUGUGUAUUCUGGCUCCCUGAAGUAACCUAUCUUGGGCAUGUCAUCUCCAAGAAUGGUAUUUCCGUCAACCCUGAACGAGUUCAGGCUAUUCUCGAUUGGACUCCUCCGAAGAAUGUGAAGCAAGUCUGAAGUUUUCUCGGCCUCGCCAGCUAUUGUUGUCGAUUCGUCGAGAACUUCUCCAAGAUUGCCAGGCCUCUGACUAAUCUGUUACAUAAGGGUGUCAAGUUCGAAUGGACAGACAAGUGUCAGGAAAGUUUCCAGGCGCUCAAAGACAAGUUGACUUCUGCCCCCGUGCUUGCUCCACCUGAUACUAAGGACUUCGUCAUUUACUGCGACGCUUCCCGUCAAGGAUUAGGUUGUGACCUAAUGCAAGAGCGCAGAGUGAUUGCUUAUGCCUCUCGUCAACUGCGCCCUCACGAAGAAAACUACCCAGUUCACGACCUCGAGCUUGCUGCAGUCAUUCAUUCACUGAAGCAGUGGCGACACUACCUUCUCGGUAAUCGUUGCGAGAUCUUCACCGAUCACCAAAGUCUGAAGUAUCUGUUUACUCAGCCAGAUCUGAACCUCCAUCAGCAAAGAUGGAUGGAGACUGUUGCAGACUUUGACGUGGGUAUAUCAUAUACCCCCGGCAAGGCUAAUGUAAUGGCUGAUGCCUUGAGCCGCAAGUCUUACUGCAACCACCUCCAGGUUCACAAAGUUCAGCCCUCGCUUGUCGAAGAAUUUAGAAAGCUGAACCUCCAUAUUGUUCCUCCUGGAGCACUCGCUCCCCCACCCACGGAGUUCCGCAAGAUGAAUCUUCUUGUUGUUACUAAGGGUUCUCUAAAUACCCUGGCUGUCGUACCAGAUCUCGUAGCUGGUAUAAAGACUAUUCAAGGUUAUGACUCUGAAGUCCAUAAGAUUAAACGCCAUCUAGCAGAAGGAAAGCCCUCAUUCUUCACUAUCGCCGACGAUGGCGCCUUGUAUUUCAAAGGCCGCCUAGUGGUACCAUGUUCGAAGAAAAACCUGGAUAAGACUAAAAGGGUUAUGCAAGAAGCUCAUGAUACGCCUCUGUCCAUCCAUCCUGGUAGUACAAAGAUGUACCAGGAUAUUCGUCAAAGAUUCUGAUGGUCUAAUAUGAAGUAGGACAUUGCUCGUUAUGUUGCUGAGUGUGACGUUUGUCGCCGAAUCAAAGCAGAGCAUCAAAGGCCUGCUGGAACUCUGCAACCUAUCUCUAUUCCUGAAUGGAAAUGGGACCAUGUUGAAAUGGACUUCGUCACUGGAUUUCCCAAAUCGCAGAAAGGUAAUGAUGCUAUUCUUGUCGUCAUUGACCGGCUUUCCAAAGUUGCCCAUUUUCUGGCGGUCAAAGAGACAAUCACUGCUAGUCAGCUUGCUACUCUCUACAUGGCCAGAAUUGUUUCACUUCACGGUAUUCCACUAGUUAUCAGUUCAGACCGUGGCAGCUUAUUCACUUCAAGGUUUUGGGCGAGUUUCCAAGAAGCUAUGGGAACUCAUCUGUCGUUCAGUACUGCGUUUCAUCCUCAGUCACAAGGACAGGUUGAACGUGUCAACCAAGUUCUCGAAGACAUGCUUUGAGCUUGUGUAAUCUCAUUCGGCAAGAAAUGGGAGGAAUCUCUUCCAUAUGCCGAGUUCUCUUAUAAUAAUAGCUAUCAAGCUAGUCUGAAGAUGUCCCCCUUCGAAGUGCUAUAUGGACGAAAGUGUCGAACCCCUCUGAACUGGUCAGAAACCGGGGAACGUCCACUCUUUGGUCCGGAUAUUAUCCAACAGGCCGAAGAACAAGUUCACAUUAUUCGCGAGAAUAUCAAGACUGCUCAGUCACGUCAGAAAAGUCAGUAUGACCGUCAUCACCAAGACAUGGUCUAUCAACCUGGCGAAAAGGCUUAUCUUCGAGUUACACCAAUGAAGGGUGCACACCGCUUCGGGAUCAAAGGAAAGCUAGCUCCCCGCUAUAUUAGUCCUUUCACUAUUCUCGAAAGGCGUGGAAAGGUGGCAUAUCAACUGGAGCUUCCGUCGAACCUUUCUCAGGUUCACGAUGUGUUCCACGUGUCACAACUCCGACGCUGCUUCAAGGACCCAAUCCGAGCAGUGAAUCAUGAAGUGCUUGAAUUGCAACAAGACCUCUCCUAUAAAGAGCAUCCGGUCCGCAUUCUCGACCAAGCUGAACGCCGCACACGUCAGAAGGCGAUCAAGUUCCUCAAGGUCCAGUGGUCGAAUCACUCUGAAGACGAAGCCACCUGGGAACGCGAGGAUCGUCUUCGUGAUGAAUACCCCGCAUUGUUUCCUUCUACCUCCUAAAUCUCGGGACGAGAUUUCUUGUAGUGUAGGAGAAUUGUAACGCCCGAAUAAUUAAGCUACAGUGAAUCUCCGCUAAUGAUGCCAUGUCACCUCAGUUACUGUUGAUAAACCCGCGUAGUUCGAAACCCAGUUCAAAAUUCAAAUUUAAAAUAAGGCAAACAGUAAAAGUUUUCAAAUAUUAAAACUAAAAUGUUCGGAGUGAGCCAAAUAAUCCAUAUUAAAUAUUGGUGAAGAAACCACACCUUUAUAAAAUGUUUAAAUAAUAUGAGAUGGGUAAAACAGUAGCAAAACAAUUAUUUUAAAUGCUUUUAAAUACUAAACAAGUGUCAUUCUAGUUUAUAUAAUCACCAAACUUUUUGGAGUAGGUGGCCUAUGUUAUUAUGCUAAUUUAGGAGUAGGGGUUAUAUUUUUGUAAAGCUGUUUUGCUAACUAAAAUAAAUAAAAUAGAAAAGGGAAAAAUAAUAAAAACGGAAAAAACAAAAGAAAUUAAAAGCCCCCCCCCCCUCACUGGGCCUCGGCCCAGCUGGCCAUCCAACUAGGCCGGCCCACCUAACCCUUGCUUAACCCCCUGCCUCUCCCCGUGACCUAGCCACUACCCAGUCAACCCCCCACGAUCCCCUUCUCCCCUUCCCGCGCGAUCUGGAUCGGGCGCACACCCCGCCCCCGACACAGUCGCCCUCGCCGCCCGGAACGACUCCGCCGCCCGAGGACCUCGCUGGACCGCCUCCACCUCGUCGUCGCCUUCCUCGUCUUCCUCCCCGACUCGCGUCACCAAGCCUCGCCGCCCUGUGCCCCUGCAACGCCGGUGAGGCCAUCGGCCUUCGCCUUCCCUCCUCCUCUUCCCCUUCGUCGCCUUGCACACUCGCCGACCGGGCCUCGAACGUGCUCACCACGACCACGCCGCGCCCCUACCACCGCACCGCUCUGCCGACUCCGCUGCCUGCGCCUGCUGUUGCUUUAGUGACGGCCACCGUCCGUAGCUCAAACCGCUCCCCCACCUGCCGGUUCCCGGCCACACCUGCUGCGCCGUUGCCCUGUCCGCCAUGCCCGCCUCUGCUCGCCCGCGCCCUCCCUUGCGCCCUUGCACGCAUCCGCCACGCCGGCACCGCCCAGCUCCGCCAUGGCCCUCCUCCCUUCACCCCGCGGCCUCCCUCUGCUUCCUUUGGAAGCGCGUGAGCGCGCGCUCGCCCCCGGUGGCCUCCGUGACUCGAGUUGCCGCCCAUAGCAGCGAUCUGGCGUGCCUCCACCGUGGCUCGAGGCCACCAGCGUUUAAUCGCUGGCCUAGUAGGCCAUUAGUGCUAAUUGCGCUAUUAACCCUCCUGAUAAGCCACUAACACAUGGGGCCACCCCGCUAAUUAAUUAGUUGGCUAAAUAAACCUCUUUUAAUUUACCUCUCAUUGACAGUCGGGCCCCACCACUUGUUUGAGUUAAUUUAAAAGGUUAAACUCUGGUAAAACAGGCUCCGUCUAUGACAGGUGGCCCCCUGGUCAGUUUGACUAGUCAACAUCCACAGUUGACUGCUGACUGGGCAGUCAACUGGGACCACUGUCAGCCACACAUUACACCCCUGGGUACACUUCUCCGUGUACCCAUAGCAAUUAGUGUAUAUUAUUUUUCGAAUUAAAUUAAAUCCAGUAAAUUAGAAAAUGUGUUAAAACUUUAAAAUUGAUAUAAAAUAAUCCGUAACUCGGAUGAAAAUACUUUGUACAUGAAAGUUGCUCAGAACGACGAGACGAACCCGGAUACACAGCCCGUUCGUUCGCCACACAUCCCUAACAUAGCGAACACGCAACUUUCCCCCUCCGUUUCAUCUGUCCGAAAACGCGAAACACCGGGAAUACUUUUCCGGAUGUUUUCCCCCUUCACCGGUACCACCUCGUACCGCGUUAGGGCACACCUAGCAUCACGUUUUGUCAUGUCAUGCAUCAUUAUGCAUCUGUUUGCAUUAUAUUUAUUGUUUCUUCCCCCUCUUCUCUCGCUAGACACCGAGACCGACGCCGCUGCUUCCCAGUACGACUACGGUGUUGACGACCCCUCUCUCUUGCCAGAGGAACCAGGCAAGCCCACCUUGAUCACCAGAUAUCGCCUACUCUCUUUCUACUGCUUGCAUUAGAGUAGUGUAGCAUGUUACUGCUUUCCGUUCAUCCUAUCCUGAUGCAUAGCAUGUCCUUGCUACUACUGUUGUUACAUUUACCUGCAAUCCUAAUGCUUAGUAUAGGAUGCUAGUUUUUCAUCAGUGGCCCUACAUUCUUGUCCGUCUGCCAUGCUAUACUAUCAGGCCGUGAUCACUCGGGAGGUGAUCAUGGGUAUAUACUAUAUACUUUAUACAUGAUACAUGUGAUGACCAAAGUCGGGUUAGCUCAAGGAGUACCCGCAGUUGAUUCACGAAUUGGGGGCUGGAAGGACAUACUUUCCCGACGGCCCUCUGUGUGGAUCUUUGUGGCGGAGCGAGAGGGCGGGUUCAGGCCACCUAGGAGAGAGGUGGGCCUGGCCCUGGUCGGCGUCCGUGGUUAUUUCAAAAUAACAUGCUUAACGAGAUCUUGGUAUUUGAUUUGAGUCUGGCUACUGGCCUAUACGCACUAACCAUCUACACGGGGACAGUUAUGGGCACUCGACGUCGUGGUAUCAGCCGAAGCCUUCGUGACGUCAGCGACUGAGCGGCGCGCGCCGGAUUGGACCGUAAGCCUGCUCUUGUAUUAAGGGGGCUAGUUCUGCUUCCGGCCGCAUUCGCAACAUGCAGGUGUGCAAAGGGCGAUGGGCCCAAACCCCUGCGCCAUAGGAUUUAGACCGGCAUGCUGACCUCUCUGUUGUGCCUAGGUAGGGCUGCGACGUGUUGAUCUUCCGAGGCCGGGCAUGACCCAGGAAAGUGUGUCCAGCCAAAUGGGAUCGAGCGUGUUGGGUUAUGUGGUGCACCCCUGCAGGGUAGUUAAUCUAUUCGAAUAGCCGUGAUCUUCGGUAACAGGACGACUUGGAGUUGUACCUUGACCUUAUGACAACUAGAACCGGAUACUUAAUAAAACACACCCUUCCAAGUGUCAGAUACAACCGGUGAUCGCUCUCUCACAGGGCGACGAGGGGAGGAUCAUCGGUUAGGAUUAUGCUACGUGAUGAUACUUGGAGGACUUCAGUCUACUCUCUUCUACAUGCUGCAAGACGGAGGCUGCCAGAAGCGUAGUCUUCGAAAGGACUAGCUAUCCCCCUCUUAUUCCGGCUUUCUGUAGUUCAGUCCACAUAUAAUAGCCUUAUUCCAGUUGAUACCAAUGCAUACAUAUGUAGUGUAGCUCCUUGCUUGCGAGUACUUUGGAUGAGUACUCAUGGUUGCUUUCUCCUUCUUUUCCCUCUAUCCCUUCUACCUGGUUGUCGCCACCAGAUGUUGGAGCCUAGGAGCCAGACGCCACCGUCGACGACGACUCCUACUACACCGGAGGUGCCUACUACUACGUGCUGCCCGCUGACGGCGACCAGGAGUAGUUAGGAGGAUCCCAGGCAGGAGGCCUGCACCUCUUUCGAUCUGUAUCCCAGUUUGUGCUAGCCUUCUUAAGGCAAACUUGUUUAACUUAUGUCUGUACUCAGAUAUUGUUGCUUCCGCUGACUCGUCUAUGAUCGAGCUCUUGAAUUCGAGCCUUCGAGGCCCCUGGCUUGUAAUAUGAUGCUUGUAUGACUUUUUUUUGUAGAGUUGUGUUGUGAUAUCUUCCCGUGAGUCCCUGAUCUUGAUCGUACAUGUUUGCGUGUAUGAUUAGUGUACGAUUGAAUCGGGGGCGUCACAAGGGGGGACCUUUAGUCCCCACCCUUUAGUGCCGGUUACAGAACCGGUGCUAUAGCCCGGUUAUGCACUAGUGAGAAAAGCGCAAAGUUAUGACGAUAUCUAAGGCAAUGAUCAUGAAUAUAGGCAUCACGUCCAUGUCAAGUAAACCGAAACGAUUCUGCAUCUACUACUAUUAGUCCACACAUCGACCGCUAUCCAGCAUGCAUCUAGAGUAUUAAGUUCAUAAAGAACGGGGUAACGCAUUAAGAAAGAUGACAUGAUGUAGAGGAAUUAACUCAAGCAAUAUGAUAAAACCCCCAUCUUUUUAUCCUCGAUGGAAACAAUACAAUCCGUGCCUUGAUGCCCCUACUGUCACUAGGAAAGGACACCACAAGAUUGAACCCAAAGCUAAGCACUUCUCCCAUUGCAAGAAAAACCAAUGUAGUUGGCCAAACCAAACCGAUAGUUCGAAGAGAAUUACAAAGAUAUCAAAUCAUGCAUAAAAUAAUUCAGAGAAGAUUCAAAUAAUAUUCAUAGAUAAGCUGAUCAUAAAUCCACAAUUUAUCGGAUCUCGGCAAACACACCGUAAAAAAGUAUUAUAUUGAAUAGAUUUCCAAGAACAUCGAGGAGAAUAUGGUAUUGAGAAUCAAAGAGAGAGAAGAAGCCAUCUAGCUACUAGCUAUGGACCCGUAGGUCUAUGGUAAACCACUCACGCUUCAUCAGAAGGGCAAUAGAGUUGAUGUAGAAGCCCUCUGUGAUCGAAUCCCCCUCCGGCAGGGAGCCGGAAAAGGUCCCUAGAUGGGAACUCACGGGUACAGAAGGUUGCGGCGGUGGAAAGGUGUUUUCGUGGAUGUCUCUGGUGGUUUGGGAUAUACGGGAAUAUAUAAGCAAAAGAAUUAGGUCGGGAGGUGCACGGGGGGCCCACAAGGGUGGGGGGCACGCCCUUCGUCCUUGUGGCCACCUCAUGGUUCCUCUUACUUCAUCUCCAAGUCUCCUGGUUGUCUUCUGGUCCAAGAAAAAUCAUCGCAAAGGUUUUAUUCCGUUUGCUAUUCAUUUUUUGUGAAACUCAAAAACAGAGAAAAAAUAGGAACUGGCACUAGGCUCUAGGUUAAUAGGUAAGUCCCAAAAAUAAUAUAAAAUAGCAUAUUAAUGCAUAUAAAACAUCCAAAACAGAUAAUAUAAUAGCAUGGAAUAAUCAAAAAUUAUAGAUACGUUGGAGAUAUAUCAGCCAGCGUGCUGGGGAAGGUGGCACACUGCCUCUUCUCGGUCUUUGGUGGUCUUGGCGCUGGUGGCUUCGUUCUGGCAGGCGUGGUGGCUUGCUUGGUUGAUGGUGGUACUUGCGGUGAGCGGCUUGGGCUUUGUGUGUGAGGGGGUGGCGGAGAUGGUGGAGGCGGAUGUGCUGUGUGAUGUGAAUCCUCCCGUCAUGGUGGUCGGCUUGAUUGAGCAGCUCUAGAACUUUGGGGUUUGCGAUUUGGGCUGGGAGAAAUCCCUGUUUCGUCAUGCGGAGGCUAGAAAUGAUGACAUCCGUGGACGUCGUCCACUCCCUGAAGGCAUUGCUUUGGCCUGGAUCGGACUCCCUCCUUGUGCUUAGGUGAAACCCUUGGUUCGGUCUCCAGACCGGAUGGUGGCAGCGUCAUGGCAUCGAUCUCUCCUUGGGCAUCGUCUUGUUGCUCGAGGAGUCCUGGUAGCAUGGCUCAAGUCGGUGUCGGCUACUACUCUAGGCAUGGGCCUCCGGGGCGCAAUGUACAUUAUCAUCGUCGGUCUCUCCAUCACAUCGUCUCUUGGUCCACCCAGGCCCUCCCGCCCGCUUGCUAACUCUUGGCGCAAUGGGUGGGUAUGUUGGUCUGUGUUGUUCUCGAGUCUUGGUCUUGUUGUAGAGGUCUCCGGCAUCGAUGUGACGCGGCUUGGUUGCUCUCUGGCUUGCCUCAUCGUCAUUGGGAUGAGGUCGGCCUAGGUGCAGCAUGUAUCGUUGUCUUUUUCGACAAAUGGUGAAUUUUAUUGGCUCAAAAUGGAGCAUUAAGAGGAUACAAACAAAAUAAGCAUACACCUAGCCUCCACAAAACUAAGAUGCACACAGCCAACACGAACACACACAUGUCGAUAAAUAGCAAAGUCAUGUAAGACCAAAGCUAGCGUAGGCGAGAAGAAAAAGCAAUCCGGUCCAUGAUUAGCAAACUACAUGUGGGUGCUAAUCUUUAUGAUUGUUUUUUAAUGGCUGAAAGGCGUUGUACCCGACUUCUUUGCCACAUAUGAUACGCGUAUUUAUGUGUAUUCUAGAAAAGAAGAAAAUAGUGCCUCGGCCUCGACCCUGACCUCCUUGGCGACACCCUCAAUGAUCUCCACCCCGAAAGUAAAGAUGGAUUCGCUAUGGCAUCUCAAAAGAAAGACUUCCGUAUAUGCUUUGCUAACCUUAAAUUCGAUGAUGGAGAGGACACACGCGCUAGAAUGUGGAGUAUGUAAGUCUUGUCUGAGAAGACAUUGCAGAGUAAGCACAGACGGAUGAUCAGGAAGUGUGGACACAUUGCAGAGUCAUUGAUGUUUGGCGUGACUAGUAAAAUGGCGCGUGCGUUGCAACGGGAGAAAAAAAAUCAUAAUCUCCAAUGGCCAUGACCAUAUUCUGCUGCAUCACCGAGAUACGCUAUCACUCUCAUUUUAAUGAAAUCAUUAACAAUUUUGAAAAGUCAUGAACAUUUUCAUAAACUCAUGAACAUAUCUGAAAUCAUGGACAUUUCCCAAAUUCGUGAACAUUUUUACAGAUUUUUAAACAUUUUCUAAAAUUAUGAACAUUUUAUGCUAUUCGCAAACAUUUUUUAAAAUUGUGAACAUUUUAUAAAACAUUUUUCUUCAAUAGGCGAACAUUUCUAGAAUCGACGAACAUCUUUUUGCAAAUUAGUGGAACACUUUUUGAAAUUCAUGAACAUUUUCGGAAAUGCAUGAUCAUUUUUUGAAUUAGCAAAUAUUUUAUGAAUCAAUAAACUAUUUUUAAAUCAUGAACAAUUUUUGAAUUUUUAGGAUAUUUUUCAAUUCGUGGACAUUUUUUGAAUUGGCAAAAUUUUGUUCAAUUUCAUUAAAGAAUUUUAAUACACAAACUUUAAGAAAACCAUGAACAUUUUUUGAUGAAAUCGUGAACAGUUUUUGAAAUCAUGAUUUUCUUUCUGAAAUUGUGAACAAUUUUUGAAAAUUAAGAACAUUUUCUAAAACUCAUGAACAUUUCUGAAAUUGUGAACGAUUUACAAAUGAUUUAAAGUAGAAAAAUUCAAAAAACAAAGAAGGAAAAGGAAAAUGAAAAAAAAAAUGAAAUUUAAGAAACAGGUUGCCCGCAUACGGGCCGGUCCAAACAGGCGCGUUGUCUCUUCUCCCAGCACAUAGAGCGUAAUAUAGAAGGUUACUAUUGCAUGGGCCGGCCCAGGCAGGAUUCACCUGUGUGAAACAUUUUUUAUCACUUAUAGAUAGCAUCGAUGGGUAAUAUUUUGUAACUUUGGAGCAAUUUCGGUGACGUAGCGCCAGAUGCAAUAGGCCCUUUAUUUUUAGGUAUAGAUUCAUUGACAAAAUCCACGGCAACGAGUUAAUCAACAAACAAAAUUUGUUAUUUAUUUUGUUUGCUCAAUACAAGUUUUUAGAUUUUACUAUAAACAUUGUUGCAUAUGUUGACGGUAGAUAUUUAGAAAUAUAGAAAUUAUCUGAGACAAUUUACCAUCAAAACCGCUUGUGGUGGAAUUUAUCCGAGACAUUUUUAGAGCUGCCUCCGAUACUAUGAGUAUUAGCGACUAUUGGCUAGAGGCCGAAUGGUUUUAACUUUUAAAUAGCGCGCUAUAGCUCCACCAUAGCAUGCUAUAGCGUUUAGAAGAGGUACCACGCUAAGGGACUUUUAGACGAAACACAUGAAUAGGGGAAACCCUAGCCGCCGGCCUUAGGGCCUUCCUACUCCGUGCUUCUCCCCUCGCCGUUGCCGGCUCGCUCUGACGGGCGAAGCCCGGUCGGCGGCGGUGGCGGGGCGGGGGGGGGGAGGGGUCUUUCUUCCCUCUCUUGAUGGUGGCCGAUGCGGGUCGAUGUGGUCGGGCAGUGGAGCGGCGCGGGCAGAGGGCGCAACGGUGUCAGGGUCAUUGCUUGGCGGUAACGUGAUGGGCUCUGAUACGUCUCCAACGUAUCUAUAAUCUUUUAUUGCUUCAUGCUAUUACAAUAUCCAUCUUGGAUGUUCUAUAUGCAUUAUUAUACUAUUUUAUAUCAUUUUUUCAGACUAACCUAUUAACCAGUGCUAGUUGUUGUUUUUUUCCUUGUUUUUGUCUUUAUAGAAAAUCAAUACCAAACGGAGUCCAAACAGAACAAAACUUUUUGACGAUUUUUCUUGGACCACAAGACACUCUGGAAGCUUCGGAAGGAGGCCAGAAGAAACACAAGUCAUUGACAAGCUCAUAGGGCACACCCUAGGGGGACGCCCCCUGAUCUUGUGGGCCCCUAGUGGCUCCUCUAACCCUAAUUCUUCUUCUAUAAAUUCCCAAAUAUUCCCCGUAGAUCAGAGGGCGCACCAAAAAUACUUUUCCGGCGCCGCAAGUUCUAGAACCACGAGAUCCCAUCUGGAAGCCUUUUCGGUACUCUACCGGAGAUUGAUUCGACCAUGGAGGGCUUCUACACCAACCUUGCUACCCUUUCGAUGAUGUGUGAGUAGUUUACCACAGACCUACGGGUCCAUGGCUAGUAGCUAGAUGGCUUCUUCUCUCUCUUUGAUCUUCAGUAAAAUAUUCUCCUCGAUGUUUUUGGAGAUCUAUUCGAUGUAAUCUUCUUUUGCGGUGUGUUUGUUGAGAUCCGAUGAAUUGUGGGUUUAUGAUCAGAUUAUCUAUGAAUAUUAUUUGAGUCUUCUCUAAACAUUUUUAUGCAUGACUAAGAUAGCUUUGUAUUUCUCUCCGAUCUAUUGAUUUGGUUUGGCCAACUAGAUUGAUUUUUCUUGCAAUGGGAGAGGUGCUUUGUGAUGGGUUGAAUCUUACCGUGUUUAUUCCCAGUGACAGAAAGGGACAUGACACGUAUUUGUAUUGUUGCCAUUAAGGAUAAAAAGAUAGGGUAUGUUCAUAUUAUUUGGAUCUAUCCCUCUACAUCAUGUUAUCUUGCUUAAGGCGUUACUCCAUUCUUGUUAACUUAAUACAUUAGAUGCAUGUUGGAUAACGAUCGAUGUGUGGAGUAAUAGUAGUAGAUGCCGGCAGGAGUGGUUCUACUUGUCAUGAACGUGAUGCCUAUAUUCAUGAUCAUUGCCUUAGAUAUCGUCAUAACUAUGCAGUUUUCUAUCAAUUACUCAACAGUAAUUUGUUUACUCAUGUAUGCUUUCUUUCAAGAGAGAAGCCUCUAGUGAAAACUGUGGCCCCCAAGUCUAUUUUUAUCAUAUUAUUUUUAGAUCUAUAAAAUAAAAAACACAAAAAUACCUUGCUGCAAUUUAUUUACUUCUAUUUUAUUUUGCACUUUUACUUAUCUUUUAUAUCUAUCACUAUCAGAUCUCAUCCUUACAAGUAACCGUGAAGGGAUUGACAACCUCUUUAUCGUGUUGGGUGCAGGUAUUUGUUUGUUUGUGUAGGUGCAAUCAUUCAUGACUUGUCUGUUCCUCUUACAGAUUGAUACAUUGGUUCUCAACUAAGAGAAAAUACUUAUCUCUACUUUGCUGCAUCACCCAUUCCUCUUAAAGGAAAAAAUCGACGCAGGCUCAAGAAGUAGCAGGCUCUGUGGUCUUCUACGCGCGUUGCGCCAGGACCUGUGGUGGCAGCCACAGUCGUGGAGCUCAUCGGCCCCCCUUUGGUGCAUGGUUGAUGCUGAUGCGAUGGGGCGUCGCGCCUGGUCGUGUGCGCGGUGGGCCGACAAUGGGUGUCGACUGCCUCCCAGGGUGUCCUAGUUCGUCCUUGUAGCGGAUCUGAAGACGGAGGCCUUCCCUGGAGCUUUUUCCUGCCUCGCUAGCUGGCACUGCCGACGUCGUCUGUUCACCGAAUUUGGCAGUUUGUGGGGCUAAGGGUCUGGUAGGGAUGGAUUGGGGGAAACCCUUGGCCGGUUGCUAUGAUCACGACACCGGCGGUGCUUUGACGUCGUUCACCUUCUUGACGGUAGCAUCGCGAUCCUGCCCUCACCCUCUCCUUCCCGUCCCGCGUGAAAGCCCAAAGUCUCCGGAUUGAGUGGUGACAAUGCGCCGGUGUCAUUUUCUUCUUGAAGACACCAUCUUGGGAAGGCAGACUGGUGGUGGAAGCUCCGACGUGGGUUGUGGUCCGCCGGUUAUUUCAAGUGUUGUUCCCGCUCGGCUACUUGGGAUUGAACUUGAUGCCUAAGCGCGGCGGUGGCGAUGUUGGGGUGUGCAGUUGCAUGGUGCGGUAGCCGUGCUUGUUGAGUUGUCGUCCUCUCCCCAGCCACCUGUUGGUCCCGUCCAUGCGAGCUCGGUGGUGAGCGACUCUACCUGUCGACAACAUAGUGUCCUCCGAUCCAGGAAUAGAGGGCAGGGGGGCUUCUUCGGAGGCAGAGGCGGAUGACGGACUGACAAUGGCUGGCCUCUUGGGAGUUGACGGAGCGUGGCAAUCCUCCUGCAGUGGGCCAUUACCUUGUCUCCGUUGCGUCGUGUGCUGGCUCUUGUUCGCCGAGGGCCACAAUGCUGAAGCUUGCACUUGGUGCAUUCGGUGCUUGUUAGUGGCUCCUUUGGUAUCAUGUAUCUUUGCCAUUUCUCUCUUUUGUUUUGUUUUGGCUUGUUCAAUUUGUAAUGCAGUAGUUGUUUUAUACAAUAUAAAGCGGGGGAAAUCCUUUUUUGUCAAACACAUGAAUAAACAUUUUAAAUAACGUGCUAUAACAUUUAGAAGAGGUCCGCCGCUAAGAGGCAUAGCGCGCUAUUUAAUACAAUGGGCGAAAGUCAAAAUCGUGUGAGAUAAUCUUCUUGCAGGCACUUCAGAAAUCAAUGUUUCUUAGAAGUAAAAAUAGGCUUCACAGCCCAGCUUUUAUUUUUAUUUAACCGAAAGAUAAAAUCUUCAUGCUGGGGUAAACCAGCUACACUACAACCACAAGAACAGAAACCAUGUCCUGGACAGCAACAUUACAAUACAAGGAUCAGAACGAAAAGCAACAUCCCAGCAGAAUAAUCCAUGAGAUCAGCGUCUUAUUUAAUCUUCUUCUUAUCUUCGAUCUUCUUCAGAAUCAUGCGUGUGAUCAGCAUCGCCAGCAUUUGUAGCCAAUUGAACUGGAGUCCCAGCAACGAAAUGAACUGGUAUCUAUAUCAACCUUUUCCAUUUGUGGAAGAGAAAGGAAGCACAUCAACCUUUGUAGCUGAGUGGUCCGGCGUCCUCUCCUCACACCCCUGCCUCCAGAGAAGCAAGUGAAAAAACAAAUGGAAAUGAAAAUCUCAACCCAUCAACCGAUCAAUCCCUCCUAAAAUGCGAACAUAGGCAGCGCAAUGCAUGCAUCAUGAAUGAAUAACAUCCAUGCAUGCACUACAUAUCGGCCAUGCCGCUGGAAUCUGCAACCCUGCCGAAUGCAUCAUCGGCAGGGCAAAAAAAGAUCCAAAACAGAAGGGAC
rnacentral:lncRNA from 1 species